GUAGACUAGUUUUUUUUUUCAUACAUUCCCUAAUUUAUUUUUUUCUCUAUUGCUUGCAGGACUGCAGUGGAUUCUUAAGUUCUUCCCCCCUCGAGAGUACUGAAGCUAUUGUUGAUAUGGUCCAUCCAGAUUGCUCCAAUGUCACUUGAUUGCUAGUUUUGUUGACCCUUUUUUUUAAAGGUCACGUAAGCUGCAUCUGAGAAGUUGAACUGGCAACACCCUGAUUGUACUGUGCAUCUGCUGAACUGAAGUGUUGACUGCAUGGUGUUAACAAUAUAAAUGGAUUGGUUUUUUUUAAAUUUUAUUUAUUCAUAAGAUGCUUGCAA